rnacentral:sRNA from 1 species
CAGGGCCUUGCGCUUCCUAGGCUAGCGCUCUACCACUGAGCUAAAUCCCCAACCCCGCAGUAAGUGCUUUUAACCAACCAUCUUCCCGACCUCCAAAUGAUCGUCAUACUCCCCUAAACCCUCGGCUCUUUGUCUUUACCCCUCUCUCACCAACCUGAGGAAACCCAGCUUUUAGUUUUUCCAUAGUACCCAUCCUAGAAUUCUUCUAAGUCAAGGGGACUUUCUCACUGGGCAACAGUUUUCAGUUCUCAGGAUUGCCUCAGUUUCUCUAGCAGCACAGGGAUGUGGAGACAUUCGGAGGGCAUAGCUGUCAACAAAAAGACUAGGUAUGGUCAUGUACACCUGAAAUACUAACACUUGGAAGGUGGAGGCGGAAGGAUCAGGAGGAAUACGAAGCCAUCCUCUCCUCAUUAUGAAAUGUCUGGCCAGCCUGGGCUACGUGUGAUCCUGCUUCAGAAAGAAAAAGAAACUCGCUAGUGAAAUGCCAAGCCUGAGGGCCCGAGUUUGAUUCCUGAGACCCACAGAGUAGAAGGAGAAAACCAACUCCUGCAAGGUGUCUUCCAAACUCCAUAUAUGCACGGUGACUCCUCAUCCUGCAUCCGGGAAGGUAGUGCUGUGAGACUCUCAGUGGCUGGAACAGGCAAAUUGCUCCAACCGAAGGUCGCAAGACACUAAGGAAAGAUGGAUUUGGACUACCAAGGACGAUAUUCUGAGCCAUAUGUGGGUGGCCCACAACUUUGAGCCCAUCACUUGGGAGGUGGAGGCAGGAGGGUCAGGAGUUCAAGGUCAUUGUCAGCUAUAUAAGGUUGAGGCCUGACUGGGCUAAAUAUGACCCUGUCUCACGUAAAAUAAAACAAGCAGUAAAAAA